rnacentral:rRNA from 1 species
GAUGAACGCUAGCGGGAGGCUUAACACAUGCAAGUCGAGGGGCAGCAUAGGGUAGCAAUACUCUGAUGGCGACCGGCAAACGGGUGAGUAACGCGUAUGCAACCUACCCUGUACAGGGGGAUAACCCGGAGAAAUUCGGACUAAUAUCCCGUAAUAAUAUCCGGAGGCAUCUUUGGAUAUUUAAAGUUCCGACGGUACGGGAUGGGCAUGCGUAACAUUAGCUGGUUGGUAAGGUAACGGCUUACCAAGGCUAUGAUGUUUAGGGGUCCUGAGAGGGUGGUCCCCCACACUGGUACUGAGACACGGACCAGACUCCUACGGGAGGCAGCAGUGAGGAAUAUUGGUCAAUGGGCGCAAGCCUGAACCAGCCAUCCCGCGUGCAGGAAGACGGCCCUAUGGGUUGUAAACUGCUUUUCCAGGGAGAGAAACUUACGCACGUGUUGCGUGACUGACGGUACCCUGGGAAUAAGCAUCGGCUAACUCCGUGCCAGCAGCCGCGGUAAUAGUC